rnacentral:rRNA from 1 species
CCUACGGGAGGCAGCAGUGAGGAAUAUUGGUCAAUGGACGAGAGUCUGAACCAGCCAAGUAGCGUGAAGGAUGACUGCCCUAUGGGUUGUAAACUUCUUUUAUAUGGGAAUAAAAUGUUCCACGUGUGGGAUUUUGUAUGUACCAUAUGAAUAAGGAUCGGCUAAAUCCGUGCCAGCAGCCGCGGUAAUACGGAGGAUCCGAGCGUUAUCCGGAUUUAUUGGGUUUAAAGGGAGCGUAGGUGGAUUGUUAAGUCAGUUGUGAAAGUUUGCGGCUCAACCGUAAAAUUGCAGUUGAAACUGGCAGUCUUGAGUACAGUAGGGGUGGGCGGAAUUCGUGGUGUAGCGGUGAAAUGCUUAGAUAUCACGAAGAACUCCGAUUGCGAAGGCAGCUCGCUGGACUGCAACUGACACUGAGGCUCGAAAGUGUGGGUAUCAAACAGGAUUAGAUACCCGAGUAGUC